rnacentral:rRNA from 1 species
AUGCGAGCGUUAUCCGGAUUUAUUGGGUUUAAAGGGUGCGCAGGCGGAAGAUCAAGUCAGCGGUAAAAUUGAGAGGCUCAACCUCUUCGAGCCGUUGAAACUGGUUUUCUUGAGUGAGCGAGAAGUAUGCGGAAUGCGUGGUGUAGCGGUGAAAUGCAUAGAUAUCACGCAGAACUCCGAUUGCGAAGGCAGCAUACCGGCGCUCAACUGACGCUCAUGCACGAAAGUGUGGGUAUCGAACA